AUGCUUACCUCAUCAGCACAUAUAUUAAAACUGGAACUAUACUGAGAUUAGGAUGACCAUUGUACAAGGGUGACAUGCAAAUCUGGGGAAUGUUCCACAUUUUU